GGGAUGCAGCACGGACGGAGGGCAGGAAAAGGCGCCUCUGUGCCGCCUGCCGCCGGGCCCUCUCCCAGCUCCCGGUCAGUCCUCACUGAGUCUCCGUGCCUCAUGCCAAACAGAGAGCGCGUGAAAGACAGCCGUACGGUGUGUAAUGCCGCCUGCAGUUAAUACAGAAUGGGGAGACGAAGCCACAGCGAAAACCAGCUCCCGAGACCUGAACCUUGAAGGCCGGCCCCCUAAUGGCAACUUCCACUGCGUCCAGACGUCCUCCUGAGAAAGGACAGCCCACUUGUGGGCCCGUGCUCAUCAGGAACUACAGCUCCCAGCAGACACUGAGAGGAGACAGCUGUGCCACUGGUGCCUGGUCCAGAUUCCCAAAUAUGGAGAGGGACUGGGCUGGGGAAAAGGAACCAAAUGUUCCCCCUGGAGAGAGCGAGAGAGGGGGAGGAUGAGGACACUACGACAGAAGAGGGCAGGCACUCAAGGAGACGAUGCCUGCUGGGCGGCGUGUUAUUUCCCUUUUCAUCUGGUGUUGUUACCCACCACCCACCAUGCACCAGGCACUUGGAAUCCAGUGGGGAAGACAGAAAAAGCAAAGCUUUUGCUCUCAUAAAUUUACAUUCUGGUAGCCCUGGAUGUCUGGGGGACGAGUCCUCCAAGCAGAGGGAACAGCAGGUGCGGGGCCUCGAGGUGGACAUGAACUUGCUGAGUUUGAGAGCAACAGCGGGGCUGAAAGGGCCCAGGAGAGGGCAAGGGUGGAAAGAAACCAGUCAGGGAAUGAGGACAGGUCCAGUCUCAACUGCAGAACUGUGUAAGGAUGAGAUGCCUACAUUUCAUUCCAGUUGUAACAGAAGCCAUUACUUUUGAGCAGUGGUUCGACGUCAUCUGAUGUAAAGUGCCAGACGAGGGCACAGACUUCUGAAGGAGUUUGGAGCAGAGAGGAGAGGUGUCCCUGAGCUGGGGGGAUGGGGAAAGGGGGCAGAGUGGGGAGCUGAGCGUCAGGGCAAACAGGAGGAACUCCAGGAGCAAGGAUGACACCUGGCGUGUUCAGGUCAGCAACCUGCCGCAAGUGUGGUCCUAUAGGGGUGGCGGGGUGGCGAGGAUGGAGGGAAGGAGACUUAGGGUCUCCACAUCAGAAGGUUCUGGAGCUCAGUAAUGCCACCACUAUCCACAGGCUUCAGUGUCCAGUCAAGGACCUGGUCUCCUCCAGGGGCCGAUGUCUUCCCCUAAAAGAUUUGUCCCUUUAAAGGCUUUCGAGUCCCACAUUGAAGUUGAGGUGACUCGUGAGAGCACCGUUUCCAUCGUGAAAGGCACCUUCAUCAAAUGACACAAACCACAGGCGGAAGGUGCGCUCGGGGCCAUGCGCAGCGGAGGUGCUGGUCCUCGUUCUGGGGGACCGAGUACCGAGUAGCCACCAGGUGAUACUUAGUGCUUAUCAGGUUCCUUCAUCCCUAAGACCAGCCCCGUGAGCUGGCAGCAGAGUAGGAAGGGGAAUGGGGUGUGGGGAGUGGUGAGAGAGGCCGAGGGGAGGAUAGAAAAGAGAGGGAUUCAAAGAGGAGGAUGAGGAGGAGCACCGAGAGGGGAGUAGAGGAGAUGGGGGAUGGUUGCUGUGGCCUCAGGAGCGCUGCCCCGGGCCUGGGCUCCCUCUCCUCCAGACGUGCCUGUAGUGGUGCCGCCUGUCUGUGGGCCUCAGGAUGGCAGCUGGCUGCCCUGCCAAGCCAUGCUCCACUCCGGGGUUCUCAUGAGGACCCUGCCCCUGAGACAGACAGUCAGCCUGACCACCAGUUCCCCGACAGCAGGACAAGCUGUACCAGGAAUCUCAUCCUAACUGUCCCCUUUCUACCUGAAUUUGGGGGAACUAUGGUGCUGUCCCAACAGGUCAAAGCAGAAUAAAUCCAAAGCAAAAGACACUCCCGGUCGUGCCCUCUUCUUCCCCAGCCUCAGCAGACAAACAGAAGGGAACUAGCCCGAACAGGGGGCAGCAGGAUAUUGUGCAUGGGGCGGCUUCCCUAGGCAAGGGCAGGGGGCAGUGCGGGAGUCAUUUUAAAUUCUCAGCAAUAGGAAGCAGCAGUAAGACAUUCCCUGGGGCCGUCACACGGAGGUUCCACACAGACGCAGGAGGCCCGGCAGAACCCACGGUGAGCCCCAAGCCCGGACUCCAGCAGCGUCUCCUCCCAAGCCCCUCACCUGCCUCCCAGCCCACACGGUCACCUCAUGUGGAACAGGUCUGCCCCUUCCUUCCUGCACUGAAUGUGACCAUGUCCAGCCGCCAACACAUCAGCAUGCCCCACCCUAGCCCGCAGGCACCCACUGUCAAGAACAGUGAAAAAAAUCCUGACUUCAGCAUGGUGGGCUCGGUGUGUGGGAAGAAGCCUCGAUCCUCUAAACUGUCCAAGCUGAGAAGCUCUGCCCUCUGCCACACAACAGCCUAGCUGCUCCUGAACCCGGGCUCUGGGACAAGGUGCAGCUUUGAUGGAAGCUGUGGCCUCUGACCACACUGGGGGGCCCACCCCCUCUGCCGGAAGUGGCCUGCCUUCACCUCCAUCACCUCCGGGAUCCCGCCCCACCUACCUUCCCAACCUUGGCUCUCACACCCACAGCUCCAGGGCUGUUUCCUGACCCACCUUGCUCUCUCCAAACUUAGGCCUUUGAGCAGCUUAUUCCCUCUUCUUGGGGGCCCCUUCUCACCCCCAGAGUUCAGUGCAGUUAUCACCUCCUCUGGGAAUAUUUUCCUGGAUCCUUCCCCGCCUCUCGGGUAGAUUCAGUGCCUUCCUGCCUGUGUUCUUGUAGCAUCUGUACUUGCCUGUAUUGUAGCAGAUGAGCCACGUGUUCACUUCAGUGACUCCCCCGCUGAAUGAUUAACUCCUUCAGUGUAGAGAGCUGCGUAUUUUAUUUCUGUGUUUCCAACUCUGAACCCAGUGAGGUGGUCUUGAAUGUUUGUAGAAUGAAUGAGUGGCCAGGAUCCCUUGGCCUAAUGAAUACCCAGGUCUCCUCCAGUGAGGUCAAAUAAGGAAGUGAGGUAGGAUCUCAGUUUCCUAGGCCAACCAACACUUCACCUCCUGGAAACUUGACUUCACCUGCACUCUCAGGGCUCCCUCUGCCUUCCCCGCCCCACCCCCACCAAGUCAUCACCCCCACAUCUUGCCACCCUCUACACUGAGGCUCCCCUCCGGGACUUGUUUGGCUAAGAAAAUACUGGUGUCUUUCUGGGUUACCAAAAAGAGGGCACCUGUGUCCAUGGACAUCAGCCUUCCUUUCCCCUCCUAGAUUAGGAGCGUGUUGGCUGCUGGUACCUGCCCCAAACCGUGUCAGAUGGACCCCUGGCCCUGUCCACCCCAACUCUCCCCUGAACCAAGGAGGGGCUGUGAGACCUCAGAGAUGGUCUAGAGGUGAGAAGUGA